rnacentral:tRNA from 1 species
GGCUGAUUAGCUCAAUUGGUUAGAGUGCCUCAUUCACAUUGAGGAGGUUGAGGGUUCGAGUCCUUCAUCAGCCA